GUGCCCGGCCAUGGAGCAAUGAAAGAUUCGCAUCCCAUACGCUCUGCGGUAAAGGAGCAUUGCAUCACCUGGUCAGUAUAACGGUGGGUGACUACUUGAUAAUUCCUCUGUCCGGUACA
rnacentral:rRNA from 1 species